CCCAGUAACCCCCAGUCCUCAGGCUGCCCCGGCCCCCGGAGGCGGAGACAGACGCUGGGGAGACACCGCGCGGAGCCGCCACCGAGGGCGGGGACGAACGGGACCUCAGCGCCCACCUUCCACGGGGGCGGCCGCGGCUGGGCAGCCGCGCUCAGGGCGGGGGUCCCGGGCUCUGCUCAGAAUCAGCGGCCGACGCGGCGCGCGCUCAGGAGCAACCCGGUGGCCGCUCCGCCCCGGGAGCUGACGCUGCGCCGUCCGGCAGCUGGGGCCGCUCCCGGGGGCCGUUACCUUGUUGACGGCGGCGUGUUCCCUCAGCGCCAGGUCCCAGAAGCGGCAGCCGAUCUGGUUCCCGCACUGGCCCACUGCAAAUGGGGAGAAACACGGGAUGUUGUCCACUACCUUGACCUCUUAGGAGGAUGGAAGACUGCUCAGUGUCUUCAAACAGCGUCCCUUGGGCACAGAGAUGUCAAAUACAGAUGACCACACAAGGUGCCUUCUCUGCUUUCAAAUCAAGUAGGCUGUACCGGGGUUUUACAUCCCUUGCAGAUAUUACUCUGAGCACUGAAGUGUCCCAGAAAAACACUUACAAGAAUUCCUUCAAAGUUCUCACAAUUUCUAGAGAAGCUGGCCAAGACAGCUGAGUUUGCAUUAGUACUGGUCUAGGACUGUUCAGGGGCCCAACAUGAGAAAUAUAGAGAGAGUGGGAGGAGUUGAUCAGCGGGGCUGCUGGUAGGCAGGAAGCACUGGGGAGGUACGGGGGGAAGCUGACUGUCGGUGGGUGCUACACACCUAAUUUUUGUCCGCGGGUGCUCCAGCCCUGGAGCACCUAGGGAGUGAAUGCAUAUGAUUUUGUGCUGGACAAUUAAGUGAGUCAAAUGGACUCAUGAUUAAAAGCAAUUGCAUCAUAAUUCCAAAUGAUAUGAGAAGGGAAAUCCUAAACCUCAUCCAUGAGGGCCUUGAACAGGCUCACCAAUCAAUGUGAUGGCUGGGCAUCAGCCAGGACAUAAAGAAUAAAAUAUUUGCAUAUGAACAUUGCAGAACUAACAGACCAACAAAGCACAGAGCACCUUGAAUAACAACACCUGUAUCAGACAGACCUUGGAAGAGACUAUCUGAAGAUUUCAGAUAUGCGAAUUCAGAAGACAUCAUUACCAGGUCACUGUGGACUAUUUUUCCAGGAAUACAGAAAUAACCUACUUGGAAGAUAUAAAAUGUCACAGUGUUAUCGAGAAACCGAAGAACAGUUUUGCUCACUUUGGUAUUCCAGAACAACUAGUGAUGGAGAAUGGACCACAAUUUACUAAGCAGAAUUUAAGUCAUUCAGAACAAAAAUUAGACAAGCCAUUUACAACACACACUUUGCUUCUCUGCAAAGGAAAAAGGGCACUAAACUAUCUAAACCAGUGCUACUCAAAGUGGUGGUCCGCAGACCGGUGCCGGUCCGCGAGCCAUCGGCUGCCAGUCUGUGCGCACAUUGGAACCUAAACCUCCCCCACUGCAACUUGAGACCAUUACUCCUUGUCCUGUCCUCUUCUACCACUGAGAAUAGUCUAGAACCAUCCUCUCUGGAACCACCUCUCAGGUAGUUGAAAGCAGCUAUCAAAUCCCCCCUCAUUCUUCUCUUCUGUAUUAUUCUGUAUCUAUAUUAAAAAUAGUAAGUCCUGCUUCACCUCUUGCUAGGAUUCAAACUAUCACAUGGUGUCAGAUAAGAAAAUCACUAGAAAAGGGUUCCACAAAUUCACCUGGAAGUGGAAAGAAAUGGGUUCUAAUUUUUUUAUUGUUCCCAAAAAUCCUAUGGUCAGCAUACUCCCAUUUUAGCUGAGCAAAGAAUAAAUGAGCUCCAUGUAAAAGAAUCUUGCACACAAUUGUUUGCACAGUAAGUUUAUUAUCUAGCUUUAUUCUUUAAUGCAUAUUAGGAAUUCUUUUCAAGUUAAACCAAAGAUGGUGACCUAGGGCAUUUGUAUGGUAUGGAAUGAAGUGAUUUAAAGGUCUCUGGAAAGCAACAUAUUUAAAAUAAUUUGCUUUUAUUCUGUAAUCCAUCAGCAUUUUCAUUGACAGCGUAAUAGGGCUUGCUUCAAAGAUACUAUAAGAAUUGUAAAACUCGUUCUUGUGGUUUAAUAAGAGCAUUGUACAAAUUACAUCUCUUUGUUUAUUCUUCAUAUUUUUUGUUUUCACACAUAGAAAUUUCAAGUGAGUGACCCUAAACAUAACUGCUUUAUCAUAUAAAGACCCUGGGUGAUAUAUUUUCAUUUCCCCCCAGCAUCGGUAAUGGAAUAGAACAUGGUUUCUUUUGCUUGUUUUUUCCCUUCAGUGCUGUAAAAAAGUUUGCAGUGUUGCUGCUGUGCGGUAUCAGGCUGUUGGACAUGUGUUGAUGCUCACAGCACCACUGACCAGAGCUGCUUUACUGAAACUCACUGGCUUUCCAUCAAUCACAAAGUUACGAAUGCAGCCAGUGAAGGAAUUGCGUGUGGUCAGGCUAGACGUUAGAAGGGACUCUGGAAGAAUCAAAGAAAAAAGGAGAAUUAGAACCAAUGAUGACAGAAGUACCAUUUACAACAAUUUUAAAUAAAGCUGGCUGAAAACUGGGGAAAUGAUUUUGAAAAUAUUUUGAAGUUGUUUCUGUAUCGCAAGUUUGAAAUUGACCCAUUUUCUGUUUCUUGAAGCAGGAUACUUUUUACUGAAAUUAUUAAAAAAAAUCAUUUCUGAAAAAUUUCUUUUACCAAAACCAGAGUUUUCAGUAAGACCAGUUCCAGUUCUAGCAAAAUUCCAAGGGACCAAAUCUGGCUCUCUGGUACAUACAGGCAAUCUCAAAUAUUUUUAUUGUGCAGAUAGAUUUAAAAAGACACAAAAUCAGUAAAACAGUAAAACCUUAGAGAAGGUGCCACAAGUACUCCUUUUCUUUUUGCGGAUACAGACUAACACGGCUGCUACUCUGAAACUGGUAAAACAGUAUUAAUCAGUAUUAAUCAGGGGUCUCAAACUCCAUUUACCCUAGGGCCAGUGCCAGUCCUCAAAUCCUCCCAGCAAUAAUGUCACUCAUGGUGCCCAGAACUCACCCCCCAAAACUCCGCCCCCCACCUGCCUAAGGCUCUGGGAGGGAGUUUGGUGGGGGAGGAGGUCUAGGGUAGGGGAUUGGGGUGCAGGCUCGGGAGCGAGUUGGGGUGCAGGCUCGGGAGCGAGUUGGGGUGCUGGGUGCAGGCUCUGAGCUGAGGCAUGGGGUGGGGGUGCAGGAGGAGGGGGUGGGGUUGUAGGUUCUAGAAGGGAGUUUGGGGGUGAGAGGGGGUGUGUGGGAAGGGGGUGGGGUGCAGGCUCUGGGAAGGGUUCAGGGGGUGUGGUGCUUACCUGUGGCUCCAAGGUGGGGCAGGCCGGGGGGCUUCCACGUGCUGCUGCCCCCCAGACACCACCCCUGCAGCUUCCCAUUGGCCACAGGGGCGCUCAGGGCGGGGCAGCAUGUGGAGGCACAGCCCCGCCCCACCCUGGGGCCACAGGGAGAGGCCGGCAGACACAUGGAGCAAACAGGCAGAUGCCGCUCAGCUCUGCUGCGCUGCCAGGGCCCCAGGCCAUUUUAAAUGGGGGGGGAGGAGCGCUCGGGGGCGGCAGAUAGGGCCAAGAGAGAGACCCGGCUCUAAAACUGCUGGAGCCUCGCAGGCCACAUUGAGGAGGUUGGCGGGUUGCACAUGGCCCACGGGCCGUGAGUUUGAGACCCCCGGUAUUAAUAUUAAUACUUACCUUUUGUAUAGCUCUUUCCAUCAAUAGAUCUCAAAGCGGAUUACCAAGGAGGUUAGUAUCAUUAGCCCCUUUUUAUGGAUGGGGAAACUGAGACCUAGAGAUGUGAGACAACUCGCCCAAAUGGCCACUGGCAGAAUGGUGUCUAGACACCAGGUAUUCUGAGUCCCAGUGCAGUGUUCUAUUCACUAGGCCACCCUAUGAUAUAUCUUGGGUGUAGUCAGUACAACAAGAAAACUGGAAUAAGCCUAAUUCUACAGCAUGGUUUUGUAUGGGACUAUCAAUCAAUCAUGGUUUAUGAAAUGGCCUGAUUUAAUAGCAUUAGUAUUACAGCUGGU